UCCAUUUCAACGCUUUUUGGCGACGCUGACGAAUAAUCUUUAUCUUCAGCAAAAUUGUAAAAAGCCAGACAAACCUAAUCCGGAAUGAUUGUUUGUUUGUACGAGACGCUGACUGAUUUUGACUUCGACGUCUGUAGGUGUCACUGUCAGUGUACUGCUAGGCCGAGAUCGAAGAGAAAAGGACUUCUGUUCGCCAUUAGAGCUGUAGUUUGCUCAUCUUCGUUUCUCUGGGCUUUGAUUUCUCUACUUGAUUAGUUUAUCUGAGAUACUUGCUUGAGUUACCAUGCCUUUCCGAUGUGGGAUGGAUGCGAUUUCCAGUUUCAACUAUUUUCGCCUGAUCUGGUUGUGUCUGAAGGAAUCUGAUUCCGAGUUUGGGAGUUUGGGAUGGAUGCCUUUUGUUUUUAUUCAUUUUAUAAAAUCUGAUUUUAGAGUACUUCCUCGGUUUUUUUAGUUUUGUUUGUUUGUGCUUUGAUUUCAUUCUUGUACCAUACCUUAGCAGAACGGCCCUAACGUUUGAUACUCAUUGGAGAAAAUUUUGUAAGGCAGCUAGUGAAUCUUGAUUUUUUUUUUUGAAUUAGGUUUGAAUUUAGGUUAUGAUACCUUGUUGAUUGGUCGAAGUGUUAAAUGAAUGGAUUUUAGGUGAAUCUAGUAUUUUGUAUUAUAAGGGGUGAAGUGCGUGGAUAGUCAAAAUCCUUAAAUGCGACUUCUAAUUCAAGCCAAUUGCCGAAAGUUCAGCCUUUAGCUAACACGUAUCAGUUGCCACCUGUUGCUGUCAAGGGUUCUGAGGUAUCCAUAUUGUUUACAUGCUAUUCAUUGCAGAGACGACACGCAUAUUUAAUGGAUCGUGUAAUGUAGAUGAUAAUGGUCACCUGAUUUAAUUGUUGGGAAGUUAUUAAGAGUGAGUCGAUAAUUAUGGAAGAGUUACGGAAAAUAUAAAAAGUGUACUAUCCUCUCACACUGACAGUUAAGUUUCAAUGAAGCCAUGUAAUCCACUGGAGUCGGUUGGUGCUCUAGAGUUUUGUUCGCCCACAAUCUUGAGGUGGAUACGUAAUCAAGUAUAUUCUUUGAUACAAUAGAUUGUGCUUGUGAUGAUCUUGCACUAGUUUUCAUAAAUAUUAGCAAAUCAACAAUUAGCAAUGGUUGCUACUAGAUUCCCUACUUUUUUAAUUUAUUCAAUCCAAUGAUUUCUCAUUUGUGCAUCUAAUAUAGCAUCGAUGUAUGGAUGCUUCAUUAAUGGUAUUUUUUUUGUUUAUUAAUGUCUAUAAUUAUCAUGCACACAUGGAAGUGCUUGGCGGUGCAAAGUAAGUGCCUAGUUGCCAACAAUGUCGAAUCUUUACUAAUUUCACCAUAUAGCUUAAUAUUUAGUUAGAAUUGAAAUUAACUCGUCGAACUUUGAAUGCCAAAAAGCUGUCAGUUCCCUGCGAGUUUCCUGUGAAAGGCUGGUGUAUCCGUGGGGAAUCUUGUAGGUCCUUCAUUCCGAUAAAAGGCGGGGUACUCUUAACGAGAUAGCUUCUUCACGUGACUUUAUUCAACCACAACAAAGUUGUGGUAACAUUAAUUUUAGAAUUAGUGCUGCAUCAUCUUCUUUGCAAGGGAUUUCAAAGGUUUUUGGUUCUUAUAAUUAUGAGCCAUCAACCCAUUCAUUCCAUCCCAUGAUACUACACGAAAUAUGUUGUUGAAGGAAAAUAGUUCCAAAAGCUUUCCUAAACAGGGUUUAUCUAUUUGAAGUAGCUCACAAAUUAAGAGAUUGGAUCUGAAGGUUGAUGGAAGGAGCGCACAGAAAGACUUUGAGGCUGCACCUGCUGUGCAUGUGAAAGAACUGCCGGAACCUGCUUGGUCUAAAGACCACUUGAGAAAGGACAACUUCAAACUACUUGUGCAGAAGUCGGUUGAAAAGGUUCUCGCCUUGUUCCAACCUUAUAAUGUUCCUAUUCCCAGCUCAAGUGAGGAAAUUAAAAAGUUUAUUGGCUCAUUUUGGGUGAAACUUGAAAAGCUAGUUGAGGAUCAUAGUAAGAUAUAGCGGGAGCCUUGAGAUUUCUGGGGGACAAGUUUGUACAUAAUCUUUACCUGACCUAAACAGUGCCAAAAAGCUGCCAAUUCCCUACGAGUUUCAUGCAAAAGGCUGGUGUAUCCGUGGGGAAUCCUUUAGGUUCCUUCAUUCGGAUAAAAGGGAGGGUACAAUCAACAAGAUAGGGAUUGGAUCCUAAGGUUGAUGGAUGGAGAGCACAGAAAGACUUCGAGGCUGCACUUAUUGUGCAUGUGAAAGAACUUUUGGAAUCAGCUUGGUCUAAAGGGCAUUUGAGAAAGGACGACUUCAAACUAAUUGUGCAGAAGUCGGUUGAAAAGGUUCUCGCCUCCAUCCAACCUUAUAAUGUUCCUAUUCCUAGCACAAGUGAGGAAAUUAGGAAGUUUAUUUGCUCAUUUCGGGCUAAACUUGAAAAGCUAAUUCAGGCUUAUAUUAAAAUAUACCGGAAGCGUUGAGGUUACUGGCAACAAGCUUGUACAGUAACUGACCCUGUACCAAAAAGUCUCUUGAGAAGGUUACCUUAUAAUGUUCCCAUUCCUAGCUAAAGUGAGGAAAUUGAGGAGUUUAUUUCCUCAUUUUGGGUGAAACUUGAAAUGCCAGUUCAGGAUUAUAUUAAGAUAUGCUGGCCUGCCGGGAGCCUGAAAUUUCUAGGGGACAACUUUGUACAUAAUCUGGUAAUUUUUCUUUAUUGUACAUAAUUAUCGUGCGGACAUGGAAAUACUUGGCAGUGCAAUGUAAGUGCCAACGGCCAAUCUUUUCUAAUUUCACUACGUAGCUUAAGAUUUAGUUAUAAGUGAUAUUAAUCGCACUUGUCUUUUGUGCAUUGGCAAAAACUGCCAAUUCCCUGCGAGUUUCACGCAAAAAGCUGGUGUAUCUGUGGGGGAUCUUGUAGGUUCCUUCGUUCGGAUAAACGGCAUUAUACAAUCAAUGCGAUAGUUUCUUCAAGCGACUCUAUUCAACCACAACAAAGUUGUGGUAAAUUUAAUUUCAGCAUUAGUGAGGUAUCAUCUUCUCCCCGAGGGAUUUUGAAAUUUUAGGUUCUUGUGAUUAUGAGCCAUCAACCCGAUUCAUCCCAGCCCAUGAUAUUACCCGAUAUAUGUUGUUGAAGGAUAAUAGGGAUUGGAUCCGAAGUCAGAUUGAAGGAGAGCACAAAAAGACUUCGAGAUUGCACUUAUUAUGCAUGUGAAAGAACUGCUGGAACCUGCUUAGUCUAAAGGCCAUUUGAGAAAGGACGACUUCAAACUAAUUGUGCAGAAGUCGGUUGGAACAGUUCUCGCCUCGUCCCAACCUUAUAAUGUUCGUAUUCCUAGCUCAAGUGAGGAAAUUAGGAAGUUUAUUUGCUCAUUUCGGGCUAAACUUGAAAAGCUAAUUCUGGUCAGUUGCUUUGCUGAAUGUGGGGGUUAUUUAUUCUUUCUAAAUUACUCUUAUUUCUGAUCAUGCAUAAAGUUAUCGUGCCCACAUAGAAGCGCUUGGCAAUGCAAAGUAAGUACCACCAAUGUCCGAUCUCUGUGCUAAUUUCAUCAUAUAGCUUAAGAUUUAAGUUAAAUUUGAUAUUUAUGUCACUUUGUCUGACUUUGGUGGUGCAAAAAAGCUACCAAUUCCCUGCGAGUUUUACGCAAAAGGCUGGUGUAUCCGUGGGGAAUCUUUUAGGUUCCUUCAUUCUAAUAAACGGCAGUAUACAAUCAAUGCGAUAGAUAAAUAUUAUUUUUCUAUUGAAGCAUUCAACCUAAUCAAAUGUUACGUACUAUAUGUACGGCUUAUUCAAUUCUCAACGGAAGAAAACCAUAUGUUGUUUUUCUGUGGCAGCUUCUUCAAGCUACUCUAUUCAACCACAACAAGUUGUGGUAAAUUUAAUUUCAAGUAUGUUUCUUCUUCCUUUGCAAAUGUUUCUUUAAUUGGAAAAUGUGGCACAAAGGGAAUGCCUAGCAAGAGGACGUAAUAUUUACUAAUUGUAGGAUUGUUGAUAUUUUGAAUUCUGAUCAAGCAUAAAAAAUGGUUCAUGUUUUUGCAGAAUUAGUGAGGUAUCAUUUUCUCCCCCCAGGGAUUUUGAAACUUUUAGGUUCUUGUGAUUAUGAGCCAUCAGCCCGAUUCAUCCCAGCCCUUGAUAUUACCCAAUAUAUGUUGUUGAAGGAUAAUAGGUCCAAAAGCUUUCCUGAACAAGGUUUAUCUAUUAGGAGUGGCUCACAAAUUAAGGCAGGGAUUGGAUCCGAAGUCAGACGGAAUGAGAGCACAGAAAGACUUCGAGACUGCACUUAUCUUGCAUGUGAAAGAACUGCUGGAACCUGCUUGGUCUAAAGGUCAUUUGAGAAAGGACGAUUUCAAAUUAAUUGUGCAGAAGUUGGUUGAAAAGGUUAUCGCCUCGUUCCAACCUCAUAAUAUUCCUAUUCCUAGCUCAACUGAGGAAAUUAGUAAGUUUAUUUGCUCAUUCCGGGCUAAGCUUGAAAAAGCUAAUUCAGGCUUAUAUUAAGAUAUACCGGAAGCGUUGAGGUUGCUAGCAACAAGCUUGUACAGUAACUGACCCUGUACCAAAACCUACAAUCUUGGCUUCUUCUGGAACUUUCAAGAUUUGACUGCUUCACAUUUGAUCUUCUGAUCAUCUUUCUCUAAAGUCUGACUCUCCUGGAUACCUAGAAGGAUGGAAAAUGAAAGUGAAUCGCUUGAUGAAAAAUCUGCGGUCACAUCUGAAGCCAUUAUCUUCGAAUUGGAGCAUUUCAUUUACCUCACGUACACGUGCUUUUAUAUAUGCCAUUUGGGAUCAUGAGUGGAUGCUAUUUGGACAUUCUAGUUUGGCUUAUUGCAAUCCUGUAGCUGUGUGUAUGUAGCUUUCCAGUCCAGUGCAUAUUCGGACCAUUCGGUAAUGCUUUCCUUUUCUUUAUAUUUGUUGCCAUUCAUCCGUACAUAUUUCCUCCAGCAUGGGGGGACAUCAGGCUACCAUAAAUCUAUUGCUGUUACA